rnacentral:pre_miRNA from 1 species
UGGCUAAGGGCCUGAUCCAAAGCCCAGUGAAGUCUAUGGGAAUCUUUGCACUGACUUCAACGGGCUUUGGAACAAGCCCUCUAUUA